rnacentral:rRNA from 1 species
GAUGAACGCUGGCGGCGUGCCUAAUACAUGCAAGUCGAGCGAACAGACGAGGAGCUUGCUCCUCUGACGUUAGCGGCGGACGGGUGAGUAACACGUGGAUAACCUACCUAUAAGACUGGGAUAACUUCGGGAAACCGGAGCUAAUACCGGAUAAUAUAUUGAACUGCAUGGUUCAAUAGUGAAAUACGGUUUUUCUGUCACUUAUAGAUGGAUCCGGGCCGCAUUAGCUAGUUGGUAAGGUAACGGCUUACCAAGGCAACGAUGGUUAGCCGACCCGAGCGGGACGUUGGCUAGACGGGCAGUGAGACACGGUCCAGACUCCUGGGGGGGGAAACGGUCGAGAAUCUUACGCAAGGGACGAGUGCGGGACGGAGGAACACCGGGGGAAGCAUGAUGGAGCUCGGAUCGGAGAGCUAUGUUAGCAGGAGAGUACAAAUGCGUAUGUACCUAGGCAGAUAAUGACGGUACCGGGUCAAAAAGCCACGGCUAACUACGUG